AUGGCUAGUUCUGGAUCUGAUCUGGUGUCACAGCAUAGAUAGUUCUGGAUCUGAUCUGGUGUCCCAGCAUAGAUAGUUCUGGAUCUGAUCUGGUGUCACAGCAUGGAUAGUUCUGGAUCCGAUCUGGUGUCACAGCAUGGAUAGUUCUGGAUCUGAUCUGGUGUCACAGCAUGGAUAGUUCUGGAUCUGAUCUGGUGUCCCAGCAUAGAUAGUUCUGGAUCUGAUCUGGUGUCACAGCAUAAAUAGUUCUGGAUCUGAUCUGGUGUCACAGCAUAGUUAGUUCUGGAUCUGGUGUCACAGCAUGGAUAGUUCUGGAUCUGACCUGCUAUCACAGCAUGGAUAGUUCUGGAUCUGAUCUGGUGUCACAGCACAGCGGAGGGCAGGUCAUCUGUAGAGCAGCUUUGAACUCUAUCCAAGUCAUGUGGAGUCUCUGAAAACCUCAACUCUCUCCACUAAAUUAGCCAUAAGACCUGAGACCACUGUCAUUAUCUUAAACUGGGGUGGCAGGGUAGCCUAGUGGUUAGAGUGUUAGACUAGUAAUCYAAAGGUUGCAAGUUCAAAUCCCUGAGCUGACAAGGUGCAUGUGUAAAGGUGCAUCUGUCAUUCUGCCCCUGAACAAGGAAGUUAACCCACUGUUCCUAGGCUGUCAUUGAAAACAAGAAUUUGUUCUUAAUUGACCUGCCUAGUAAAAAAAAACUACAAGGUCCUAAUUCCUUUCUAUUGUUCAUCUAUCCUAAAAUACAUAGGACUUUGAGAAAAUAAUACGGAAUGAACCUACUUAUAAAGCUUUAAAACUGUGUCCAGCUGUAAUACAUGUAAAGUAAUUGAUUGAUUAAUUUCUUGUCUCUUGAAGGAGGAGGAGAAGGGCUGGAAAAUGCCCCRGAGCAACUUCCUCCCUACUGUUGUGGAGGGAAACAAAAUGUACAAAGGUGAGUGGCAGGGCGGCGUGAUGAAACACAGAACUUCCUGCAGCGGUUUGAUGCCCAGCUGGUGCGUGAGGAGAAGAGGUUGGCUGGGAGGACGAGGUCAGAGUUCAGGUGAGAACUAGGCCAUUGGUUCAACACACACUCACAC
rnacentral:lncRNA from 1 species